rnacentral:rRNA from 1 species
AGCAGCCGCGGUAAUUCCAGCUCCAAUAGCGUAUAUUAAAGUUGUUGCAGUUAAAAAGCUCGUAGUUGAAUUUCGGGAUCAAUAUGUCGGUCGUGCCUUCGGUACGUACUGGUAUCAUUGGUCUCUCCUUUCUGACGAACCAUGAUGUCAUUAAUUUGGUGUUAUGGGGAGUUAGGACUGUUACUUUGAAAAAUUAGAGUGUUUAAAGCAGGCUUUAGCUUGAAUACAUUAGCAUGGAAUAAUGAAAUAGGACGUUCGAACCUAUUUUGUUGGUUUCUAGGAUCAACGUAAUGAUUAAUAGGGAUAGUUGGGGGCAUUAGUAUUCAAUUGUCAGAGGUGAAAUUCUUGGAUUUAUUGAAGACUAACUACUGCGAAAGCAUUUGCCAAGGAUGUUUUCAUUAAUCAAGAACGAAAGUUAGGGGAUCGAAGACGAUCAGAUACCGUCGUAGUCUUAACCAUAAACUAUG